UACCCUGCUUGUACCUCGAUGUCCCUUC
rnacentral:piRNA from 1 species